CAACCAUAUCACAUUUAAGCAUCAGUUUUCGUAUGAUCACUGAAGUUAAGCAACAUUAAGCCUGUUCAGUACCUAGAUGGGUGACUGCUUGGGAAUAUCAGAUGCU